rnacentral:tRNA from 1 species
GGAAAUAUAGUUUAAUGGUAGAAUAUUCGCCUCUUGCGUGGGAGAUGAGAGUUCGAUUCUCUCUGUUUCUA